rnacentral:rRNA from 1 species
AAUUGACGGGGCCCGCACAAGCGGCGGAGCAUGCGGAUUAAUUCGAUGCAACGCGAAGAACCUUACCAAGGCUUGACAUACACCGGUAACGCCCAGAGAUGGGUGCCCCUUUGUGGUCGGUGGACAGGUGGUGCAUGGUUGUCGUCAGCUCGUGUCGUGAGAUGUUGGGUUAAGUCCCGCAACGAGCGCAACCCUCGUCCUAUGUUGCCAGCGGGUCAUGCCGGGGACUCAUGGGAGACUGCCGGGGUCAACUCGGAGGAAGGUGGGAUGACGUCAAAUCAUCAUGCCCCUUAUGUCUUGGGCUUCACGCAUGCUACAAUGGCCGGUACAAAGGGCUGCGAUACCGCGAGGUGGAGCGAAUCCCAGAAAGCCGGUCUCAGUUCGGAUUGGGGUCUGCAACUCCGACCCCAUGAAGUCGGAGUCGCUAGUAAUCGCAGAUCAGCAACGCUGCGGUGAAUUACCGUUCCGGGCCUU